rnacentral:rRNA from 1 species
ACUAACUGGAGGACCGAACCGACUAAUGUUGAAAAAUUAGCGGAUGACCUGUGGCUGGGGGUGAAAGGCCAAUCAAACCGGGAGAUAGCUGGUUCUCCCCGAAAGCUAUUUAGGUAGCGCCUCGUGAAUUCAUCUCCGGGGGUAGAGCACUGUUUCGGCUAGGGGGCCAUCCCGGCUUACCAACCCGAUGCAAACUGCGAAUACCGGAGAAUGUUAUCACGGGAGACACACGGCGGGUGCUAACGUCCGUCGUGAAGAGGGAAACAACCCAGACCGCCAGCUAAGGUCCCAAAGUCAUGGUUAAGUGGGAAACGAUGUGGGAAGGCCCAGACAGCCAGGAUGUUGGCUUAGAAGCAG